rnacentral:rRNA from 1 species
GAUGAACGCUGGCGGCGUGCCUAAUACAUGCAAGUCGAGCGAACAGACGAGGAGCUUGCUCCUCUGACGUUAGCGGCGGACGGGUGAGUAACACGUGGAUAACCUACCUAUAAGACUGGGAUAACUUCGGGAAACCGGAGCUAAUACCGGAUAAUAUAUUGAACCGCAUGGUUCAAUAGUGAAAGACGGUUUUGCUGUCACUUAUAGAUGGAUCCGCGCCGCAUUAGCUAGUUGGUAAGGUAACGGCUUACCAAGGCGACGAUGCGUAGCCGACCUGAGAGGGGGAUCGGCCACACUGGAACUGAGACACGGUCCAGACGCCGACGGGAGGCAGCAGUAGGGAAUCUUCCGCAAUGGGCGAAGCCUGACGGAGCAACGCCGCGUGAGUGAUGAAGGUCUUCGGAUCGUAAAACUCUGUUAUUAGGGAAGAACAAAUGUGUAAGUAACUAUGCACGUCUUGACGGUACCUAAUCAGAAAGCCACGGCUAACUACGUG